rnacentral:rRNA from 1 species
UACGGAGGGGGCUAGCGUUAUUCGGAAUUACUGGGCGUAAAGCGUUCGUAGGCGGCUUUGUAAGUCAGAGGUGAAAGCCCACGACUCAAUCGUGGAACUGCCUUUGAGACUGCUUCGCUUGAAGAUGGGAGAGGUUAGUGGAAUUCCGAGUGUAGAGGUGAAAUUCGUAGAUAUUCGGAAGAACACCAGUGGCGAAGGCGGCUAACUGGACCAUUCUUGACGCUGAGGAACGAAAGCGUGGGGAGCAAACAGG